GGUUGAUAUUUUUAAAAAGCCCCUAGUGAUUCCAAUGGGCAGCCAAGGUUUAGAACAAGUAUAGGAGACCAAACUUGAGUUUUUUGGCCUUGCAAUUAUUCAUUUAACAGUUAUUUAUAGCACUUUUUAAUAAUACAGGCAGGGAGGUGGGUAGAGGGCUAUGCAACAGUAACCAGACACAGUCCCUGAGCUCAGGGAGUGAGGUGGGCAAGUUACUUCUCUCUGAGUCUCAGUUCUCUCAUCUGAGGGAGUGGUAUAGUGGGGACUGUCUCUAUCACUUUCUCACCUUUGGCAUAAAUUCCUGUCCACACACCUAGCUGACUUCAGGCUUCUAGAGAGGCCACCGCUGAUUGGAUGAGGGUGAACACCUGAUCGAGAAGUGGCCAAUCCACGGGCUGACCAAAAGCCUAGCACUUGUGCUGUUAGCAAAGUAAUGGUUUGUUUGCUGUGUUCUUGGACCAGAAAAUACUGUUUCCUAGAACUAGAAUUAGGACUGAGAAAAUAAACAAAGUUUGUGAGAACUUGUUUGCUCCCCAGGGAGCUGACCUUUCUGAAAGAGCCUUUCCCAGGAUGCCUUGCAGGAAGGUGUAGCACCUGUGAGUAGCCAGCCUGGAGCUACCUGGAGGACAGGAUUUGGGCGUGAAUGGAUGUUGCUCAGGAGGAGUUCCUCAGGACUUCUUUUUCUUGAUAAGUAAUGGUAACUCAGCCACCAGCAGAAUCUAGCUGACACCCAGUUGAUGGUUGACCAGAAAUCCCGUACCUUUCUGCCGGCCGCCAUGGUACUCUGGAGCUGAAAAUGGGUGUUGAGAACACAGUCUCUCAGGAGGCUCUGAGAAGGGCUUGAGUGAAAUGGGUUUGCUGUGAUGUGACAGAUGGGCUCUGAGCGGCUGAGUCAAGACUGGGAAGCUCAGGCCUACCUGAUACUGGUACAUCUGGAUCUACCCUUGAGGUCGGGCUUAGUGAUGGCCUGGUCAUGAUAGGCCUGCUUGGAAUGGGUUUAAAUAUUGGCUCUGGGGUGCCUGGGUGGCUCAGCUGUUUAAGCAUCUGACUCUUGGUCUUGGCUCAGGUCGUGAUCUCAUGGUUUGUGGGAUCAAGCUCCGCCUUGGACUCUGUGCUGACAGCGUGGAGCCUGCUUGGGAUUCUCUGUUUCCCUUUCUCUCUUCCCCUCCCCCACUUGUGUUCUCCCUCUCUCUCUCUCUCUCUCAGAAUGAAUAAAUAAAC